rnacentral:lncRNA from 1 species
AUGCACGCCUUGCAGGGCCGCUCUCCCGGAGCAGGGGGCGCGGGCGGGUGCGGUUGGGUCCUCCAGCCCUCCAGAAGGAGCUGCUCCUGCCCGGGGAGCGGGGCCGGGCGGGUGUCCUCCCGGGGAAGAUGGAAGCAGGCCGGGAGCGGUGAGAGCAGCGGGGCGCGAUGCUCGCCCCGCUCGGAGCUCCCCAGCCAUGUUCAACCAGCAGCAGUUCCAGCAGCAGCUGCUGCAGCUCCAGCACCUCUUCCAGCAGCAGCAGCACCACCACCCCCCGGCACAGCAGGGAGGCCGGUAAGCGCCGCUACGCGAGGCCGGGGAUCGCGGGCCUGUCUUGAGGGACCCGUUCUCCUCCGCCUCCGGCCGAAGCCUGGCUCCGCGCCUGCCCUCCCCCGGUGGGGAAGGCGACAAAGGGAGGCGGGGGCGGGGGGGCGAAGGCCCAGAGGCAUUGGGGGUGAGGGGGUGUUGGGCCCAGGGGCGGUGGCCCGGGCCGCGCUGUGGGGAGGCCGCGCCGCGGGGUGCUGGCCUCCCUGGGGGUGCGUGUCAGCCAUCUCUGAGAGCAUUUAAACGGCACGGGGCACAGUCAGGGGAUAAAGGGAUGCUCCGAGGCAGCAGCCUCCCUUCAUUUCUCCUCCCUCCCUCCCCGCCCGCGGGGCUCGCAGCGCUGGGGUGCGCCCCUCGGAGCCCCGGAGCCCGGGGAGGGGUUCCCUGGAAAAUGGAAAAUGCCUUUUCCCUCAGAAAUAUACCCUUGCGCCUGGUUGAGCCUUGUUAAACAGGGACACCCGCUUUGCUAUUAUAUUUUUUUUUUACAUUUAUAUUAUGCCGAUUGAACUUCUGCUUUCUUUAUUUUGUAUUCCCUCCUAUUCCCCCCUCCCCCCCCCCCCGGAUCUCCCGGUUAGGAUGGGGUAAUUGGAUGCUGUACAACUUAUUUGUGCUGUGGUACCACAGCUGGGGCCAUGCCUGAGCGGUGAGGGGGGAGAAAAUGGCAUUUUGCUCCGUUUAAAAAAAAAAAUAAAAAAAUUAUGUCUGCCA